rnacentral:rRNA from 1 species
UGGUUAAGUGACUAAGCGUACACGGUGGAUGCCUUGGCA